rnacentral:rRNA from 1 species
UACGAAGGGGGCUAGCGUUGCUCGGAAUCACUGGGCGUAAAGGGUGCGUAGGCGGGUCUUUAAGUCAGGGGUGAAAUCCUGGAGCUCAACUCCAGAACUGCCUUUGAUACUGAAGAUCUUGAGUUCGGGAGAGGUGAGUGGAACUGCGAGUGUAGAGGUGAAAAUUCGUAGAUAUUCGCAAGAACACCAGUGGCGAAGGCGGCUCACUGGCCCGAUACUGACGCUGAGGCACGGAAAGCGUGG